UACUUAUUUCUUUUAGUGCUACACAAGGU
rnacentral:sRNA from 1 species